rnacentral:rRNA from 1 species
UCCGUAGGCGGACUAAUAAGUCAGGGGUGAAAUCCCACAGCUCAACUGUGGAACUGCCUUUGAUACUGUUAGUCUUGAGUUAUAUGGAAGUAGAUAGAAUGUGUAGUGUAGCGGUGAAAUGCUUAGAGAUUACACAGAAUACCGAUUGCGAAGGCAGUCUACUACGUAUAUACUGACGCUAAUGGACGAAAGCGUGGGGAGCGAACAGGAUUAGAUACCCUGGUAGUCC